CAAACGCUGGCGGCGUGCAUAACACAUGCAAGUCUAACGGGAAAGUUGGCUUCGGCUGGCAAGUACCGUGGCGAACGGGUGAGUAACACGUGGGUAAUCUAACCUCGAGUUUGGGAUAACCUUGCGAAAGCGGGGCUAAUACCGAAUAAGACCACGCUUGGUUCGCCAAGUGCGGUAAAAGGUGGCCUCUUCUUGAAAGCUAUCACUUGAGGAUGAGCCCGCGGCCUAUUAGCUAGUUGGUGGGGUAAUGGCCUACCAAGGCGACGAUGGGUAGCCGGCCUGAGAGGGUGUACGGCCACACUGGCACUGAGAUACGGGCCAGACUCCUACGGGAGGCAGCAGUGGGGAAUUUUGCGCAAUGGGGGAAACCCUGACGCAGCAACGCCGCGUGAGUGAUGAAGGCCUUCGGGUCGUAAAGCUCUUUUAGUGGGGAAGAAUCCCACCCGGGCUAAUACCUCGGGUGUCUGACGGUACCCACAGAAAAAGUUCCGGCUAACUACGUGCCAGCAGCCGCGGUAAUACGUAGGGAGCAAGCGUUGUUCGGAAUUAUUGGGCGUAAAGAGCGCGUAGGCGGUUCGGUAAGUCUGAUGUGAAAUCCCAGAGCUUAACUCUGGAACUGCAUUGGAUACUGCCGAGCUUGAGUGUGGGAGAGGAGAGUGGAAUUCCCAGUGUAGAGGUGAAAUUCGUAGAUAUUGGGAGGAACACCCGUGGCGAAGGCGGCUCUCUGGACCACAACUGACGCUGAGGCGCGAAAGCUAGGGUAGCAAACGGGAUUAGAUACCCCGGUAGUCCUAGCCGUAAACGAUGGGCACUAGGUGUUGGAGGUAUCGACCCCUCCAGUGCCGCAGCUAACGCAUUAAGUGCCCCGCCUGGGGAGUACGGUCG
rnacentral:rRNA from 1 species